rnacentral:rRNA from 1 species
UUCAACAGGGGUGAAAUCUGUAUACACCAUGAAUUUUUUGAUUAAAGUACCUUUUAGGUGGUCAAAUGACUAGGAUUAGAUACCCUAUUAGUCCACUCUUAAUUAACCUGGGUAGUAGUAUCGAAACCUAAAGAAUUUGGCGGUUUCUAAACCUACUAGAGGAACCUGUCCCAUAAACGACAAUCCACGAAAAAAUUCACCCGGGCUAGUUAUGCAGCUUAUAUACCGUCGUUCAGAGGACUAAAUAAAUAGAUCCUCUUAAAAGCUUAGGCUAAUAAAUCAGAUCAAGGUGUAGCUUAUGCCCGGGAGAGGGUGGGUUACAAUGAAAAUUCAUACGGAAUUUCUAUUUUGUGAUAGAAAAGAAGGUGGAUUUAGAAGUAAGACUUAAUAUACUGAAAAAGGCUCUCAGAAAUGUACAC